rnacentral:rRNA from 1 species
CUGUUGUUUCCAUUGCAAAAUGAUGGGUCUCCUUCAAUAACUUUCCGGUUACGAGUACGAGAAUAGAAAGACAAGAAAAUUCUCAAUUCUCUACGGCGUCCAGUAGAUAGAUAGAAUAUUUUCACGAACAAGAAAAUCAGAAGAAUCUUUCUCUCUAUUCACUAUCAUUCCACGUCUCCGACUUCUAUUAGUUUCCUUUUUUCUUUAAUGCAAUAG